rnacentral:misc_RNA from 1 species
GGGGGUAAGUGAGAUGAACUGAUUUUUAUCGCUACUUGCGCGAUGUUGUGAUUGAAGUCA